rnacentral:rRNA from 1 species
GAUGAACGCUGGCGGUAUGCUUAACACAUGCAAGUCGAACGGACUCUUCGGAGUUAGUGGCGGACGGGUGAGUAACGCGUGAGAAUCUGGCUUUGGGUUCGGGACAACCACUGGAAACGGUGGCUAAUACCGGAUGUGCCGAGAGGUAAAGGAGAAAUUGCCUGAAGAUGAGCUCGCGUCUGAUUAGCUAGUUGGUGAGGUAAAGGCUCACCAAGGCAGCGAUCAGUAGCUGGUCUGAGAGGAUGACCAGCCACACUGGGACUGAGACACGGCCCAGACUCCUACGGGAGGCAGCAGUGGGGAAUUUUCCGCAAUGGGCGAAAGCCUGACGGAGCAGUACCGCGUGAGGGAAGAAGGCUCUUGGGUUGUAAACCUCUUUUCUUAGGGAAGAACAAAAUGACGGUACCUAAGGAAUCAGCAUCGGCUAACUCCGUG